UACGUAGGGGGCAAGCGUUGUCCGGAAUCAUUGGGCGUAAAGCGCGUGUAGGCGGUUCAGUAAGUCUGCUGUGAAAGUCCAGGGCUCAACCCUGGGAUGCCGGUGGAUACUGCUGGGCUAGAGUACGGAAGAGGCGAGUGGAAUUCCUGGUGUAGCGGUGAAAUGCGCAGAUAUCAGGAGGAACACCAAUGGCGAAGGCAGCUCGCUGGGACGGUACUGACGCUGAGGCGCGAAAGCGUGGGGAGCAAACAGG
rnacentral:rRNA from 1 species